rnacentral:rRNA from 1 species
UACGUAGGGUGCGAGCGUUAAUCGGAAUUACUGGGCGUAAAGUGUGCGCAGGUGGCCGCGCAAGUCGAGUGUGAAAUCCCCGGGCUUAACUUGGGAAUUGCGCUCGAAACUACGUGGCUCGAGUGUGGCAGAGGAAGGUGGAAUUCCACGUGUAGUGGUGGAAUGCGUAGAUAUCGUGAGGAAUACCAGUGGCGAAAGCGACAUCCUGGCAUUAGCCUGACGCUCAUGUGCGAAAGCGUGGGGAGCGAACGGG